rnacentral:rRNA from 1 species
CCUACGGGUGGCAGCAGUGAGGAAUAUUGGUCAAUGGACGAGAGUCUGAACCAGCCAAGUAGCGUGAAGGAUGACUGCCCUAUGGGUUGUAAACUUCUUUUAUAUGGGAAUAAAAUGUUCCACGUGUGGGAUUUUGUAUGUACCAUAUGAAUAAGGAUCGGCUAACUCCGUGCCAGCAGCCGCGGUAAUACGGAGGAUCCGAGCGUUAUCCGGAUUUAUUGGGUUUAAAGGGGGCGUAGGUGGAUUGUUAAGUCAGUUGUGAAAGUUUGCGGCUCAACCGUAAAAUUGCAGUUGAAACUGGCAGUCUGGAGUGCAGUAGAGGUGGGCGGAAUUCGUGGUGUAGCGGUGAAAUGCUUAGAUAUCACGAAGAACUCCGAUUGCGAAGGCAGCUCACUGGAGUGCAACUGACGCUGAGGCUCGAAAGUGUGGGUAUCGAACAGGAUUAGAUACCCCAGUAGUC